rnacentral:rRNA from 1 species
CGCGUAGGCGGUUUGCACAGUCAGGCGUGAAAUUCCCGGGCUUAACCUGGGGGCUGCGUUUGAUACUCGCAGACUAGAGGAUGGAAGAGGGUCGUGGAAUUCCCAGUGUAGAGGUGAAAUUCGUAGAUAUUGGGAAGAAUACCGGUGGCGAAGGCGGCGACCUGGUCCAUUACUGACGCUGAGGCGCGACAGCGUGGGGAGCAAACA